CCUACGGGGGGCUGCAGUGGGGAAUAUUGCACAAUGGGGGAAACCCUGAUGCAGCGACGCCGCGUGAGUGAAGAAGGAUGUCGGUAUGUAAAGCUCUAUCAGCAGGGAAGAAAAUGACGGUACGUGAUUAAGAAGACCCGGCUAACGACGUGCCAGCCUCCGCGGUAAUACGUAGGGGGCAAGCGUUAUCCGGAUUUACUGGGGGUAACGGGAGCAUAGACGGCAGGACAAGUCUGGAGUGCAAUGCGGGGGCUUACCCCCGGAACUGCGUUGGAAACUGUGCAGCUAGCGUGCAGGAGAGGUAAGUGGAAUUCCUAGUGUAGCGGUGAAAUGCGUAGAUAUUAGGAGGCACCCCAGUGGCGAAGGCGGCUUACUGGACUGUAACUGCCGUUGAGGCUCGAAAGCGUGGGGAGCAAACCGGAUUAGAUACCCCUGUAGUC
rnacentral:rRNA from 1 species